CGCAGAUCAACGGGCGCAGAUGGAAAGAUUUGGGAUGAGGAAUUUCACGUGGUUUUCAACCUGCCUCCCCGGUAUCUGAAGCGAGCUGAUCCCUGCACUUCCAGGCCAACUCCCAUUUCACUGUAAAAGGCGAAUUCCAGAGCAUCCUGUCUUGUCUGCCUUUUUUUUUUUUUUUUUUUUUUUUUUUUUUUUUUUUUUUUGGUUCUUUUUUUCAGAGCUGGGGACCGAACCCAGGGCCUUGCGCUUCCUAGGUA
rnacentral:lncRNA from 1 species